UAGUCAGUAAAAGAAACAAUAGUGCAUCUUAAAACUGAUGGCAUCUUAGAUUUGAUUGAAACACAGUUGGUAGAACUUCAAUCCUAGAAUGGGGCGCGUGAAACCUAUCUAGCUUGAAGGGUAUGCAAGUAGAGUCCCCUUAGUCCCUGAACUAAUCUUAAAAGGCUAAGUGUGGUCACCCAUGGUAUUGGAAGAGCUGCUCUGGACAACUGACCUGGGCUGGACCCAGUCCUAAGCCUGGAAUUUAGUUUUCCUACCUGGAAGAAGCCAACUCGGCCCUCUGGGAAGAGUGAUAAUUGCCUGUCCAGCAAAGACUGAGCUCAAGGCAGGACAAAUCAGCACAAGUGAUAAGAUAUCACCCAAAGCAGGAUGAAACCCAUAUGGAUUAUAUCAGCACCUUCUUCCCUUUGAAAGACAAGGUCAAAGGCCUAAAUGUUCAGCAAAGAGAGAAGGGCCUAACAGAUAACAGUCAAGAAACCUAACAUCUUUGUGCUGAAACCAGGAGAGGAAACAAAAUCUCUGUCAGAAGUGUUGGAACCCAUUUGCCUGACUUCAACACCAACAACAGUGAAUCACCUCUGG